rnacentral:lncRNA from 10 species
UAUAGAUAAGGACAUCAUCACUCGGUUUCGGAUGUUAAAAUGUCUAGGUGGGUUAGGGGUGAUUUGAGAUCACACAACCUUGUGCCACAAAGAGGAAUUCCCAGGUCAGAGGGAGACAUUUUAUUGCCAUGUUAUGAUCUUAUCAUUGAGUUGAAAGGCAAUCUUGUUUCAUUUUGGAUUCUUUCUUAUGUUUAUGUCUUAUAAGGGCACUUUGAAUUUCCAAGCAAAUAAUAAUUUUGAAUUGGCUUUUAAUCAUUGACUUCUAGCACAGUUAUAUGAUCAGAAACGUGCUGUGUGAUUUGAUUGCUCUCAAAUAUAUUGAGAUUUGCUGGAACAAAAUAAGUCAGGUUAAUUUUUGUAAAUGUACCAUGCAUGCUUAAAAUGAAUGUAUCUACAUUUGUUCCUGAGAUACAGGUUGAUGGACGGAUGGCUACAUGGAUGUGAUGGAGAUGGUUUACUAUCAGGACCUUCCGCAUCCUGCUGAUGUUUUGUUGCUUAGGAUAUGAAUGGCUGAGCGGAGGCUGUAAAACCUGGCACUCUGCUUGGGUAUGAGGUUCUUCCUGCCAUCCUGCCAUCAUUUGUUUUUUAUGUUUUGUCGCCAAAAGUGACCUUGAGGAACCCUGGGAGCUCAGGAAGGAAGGAGCGCCCAGAAGCAGGGACAGGGAGCUGGUUGGGGAGGACCAGAAAUCAGGUUUGUGAAGGUUCCAGAGAGGACCUGUCCUUGCGAGGAGUGUGGGAGACUGAGAUGGGGGAGGGGUCAUUGGAAUGAUGCGGGCGCUACUUGGCAUUGUCCAUUGUGAGGCACCACCGGGGUCAUCAGGGAUUGGUGGAGAGGGAGUAUAAAGCCCCAGGUUUGCUAAGGGAGGGCCCAGACCGAAGAAGGUUUGGCGGAUAGCAGAACCUUUUUGUCUCCCUCUGAUUGCUCCUAAGCCUCACGCUCCCUUGCCCCGCGUGUCCUGUUGCUUCCCUGAUCUUCUCCGUGACCUGUAGCUAAACCUUCCACCAGCGCUUGAGAACUUAAUUUGAACCGGAUCCUUUCCCAGACCCCUUUCUUCUUCUCCUCCUCCUCCUCCACCUCCUCCAGGUGCCCAACAGCCCCCUUCUCCUUUCCCUUCCCCU